GAUGAACGCUAGCGGCAGGCCUAAUACAUGUAAGUCGAACGGUUGUAGCAAUACACUAGUGGCGCACGGGUGCGUAACGCGUAACCAACCUGCCCGAAUCUGGGGGAUAGCCCGCCGAAAGGCGGAUUAAUACCGCAUAACACGAUAGACCGGCAUCGGUUAUUCGUUAAAGAUUUAUUGGAUUCGGAUGGGGUUGCGUAGCAUUAGCUAGUUGGCGGGGUAACGGCCCACCAAGGCGACGAUGCUUAGGGGAGCUGAGAGGCUGGUCCCCCACACGGGCACUGAGAUACGGGCCCGACUCCUACGGGAGGCAGCAGUAGGGAAUAUUGGGCAAUGGAAGAGAUUCUGACCCAGCCAUGCCGCGUGCAGGAUGAAGGCUUUCUGAGUCGUAAACUGCUUUUGCCGGGGAAGAAAAAAGGGGAUGCGUCCUCUACUGACGGUACUUGGUGAAUAAGCACCGGCUAACUCCGUGCCAGCAGCCGCGGUAACAC
rnacentral:rRNA from 1 species